UCGCUACUACCGAUUGAAUGGCUUAGUGAGCUGUAGGGACCGAGGUGCUGGUUGGGUUUCCUUCCAGCUACUUUGCGGAACUACAUCAAACUUGAUCAUUUAGAGGAAGUAA
rnacentral:rRNA from 1 species